UUUUUUUACUUGCAUCUACUCUCAGCGUAUAAGCUCUCGUCAAACGAAACCCGGAGUGCGGACUGCGGCUCCAUACCAUAACAAUGCGUUGCCCACAUAUAUAUAACACACCAAGGAGGCCGAGUACCGCAAAGGGCUAUCCGCUAAGCAGGCAACUCCGGGUCGAAUGAGACGCAUUCGCUGUCGAGCUUAGAAACGGCGCCAUACAUACUGG
rnacentral:snoRNA from 1 species